rnacentral:tRNA from 1 species
GAAGGAAAAACAAAGGUUGCAAACCUUACUCUACUAUUCUUCU